rnacentral:misc_RNA from 1 species
GGAUGAAACCUGAAUUGGUGUCAGAAAAAGAAGUUGGAACCAUGGAAGAGCACUCUAGAGUGUAAGGUUUUCAAGUUUAAGUAAAACAGGGCAAUGGAAGCGGAAGUGCUAACAGUAGGAUUAACAUAGUUACUAUAGGGGUCCCCAAAAGCACACACUUAAGAGAUGGGGGAAGUGAUGAGGAUAUCAACCACAGUUAGAUUUGCAGAAAGGUGGGAAUUGUAGCUAGUUAAGAGAGGAGAUUAAGAUGGUUUGGACCUAUGCAUUGUAAACCAACAAAUGCACUAGUAUGGA